CGUUCGUGUUUGUGUAUUUUGACUUGGAACAUUCCGCGGAACGAAAGUUACGUGACUUUCAGGUGUGAAAAACAAUUCAACAUGGCGUCGAGAAGGUUGGUGCAAAACGGCUUCCUAAAGUUUCCGUGCAAGUUUUGUUAUCUGGAAUGCGUCAUAAGUCUCGUGACGGUAGCGGAGGUCAAACAGAGGAGUUCAACGAGUGUUAAAAACGGUUGGACUUCAAAGAUUUUGCCUUAUCAUCCUUGGAUUUAUUUGGAACUCUGCACUUUUAAAGGAUCAGAGGAUCCGAAACGUAUGUAGAAAUGUAAGUGCAAAUUUAUCAAGUACAUACUGUAAAAUAAAUGACUGAUAAAGAUGUUUCUGUAAUUGUUACAUAUUAGCACCUGCUUGUAACGUAUUUGAGGAAGUAAGAUUUCAAAUCCCUAUAAAAUGCAAUGAUAGAUUUAUUCUACGGUAGGGUAAAAUCUAUGAAUAUUUAUUGCAUUUUGUAAGGAUUCAAAUUCUCUUGCCUCUUCAAAUACGUUGCAAGCUGGAGAGACUGCUUUAUUUUCAUCCAAAAUUCGUACAUAAAUUACGUGAAAUUCAUGUAGCGCUAAUCAUAUUUUCACGUAAAAGUUACCUGAAAUUCCAGUGGCACUCACUCACAUUUCACGUAAACGAUACCUAAAACGCGAGUCAAAUUUACCUGACUUAUCACGUCGAUUCUCGAAGCUAGAAUUUGUCCAGCUACCUGACAUUCCGGUGAAGGUGACGUGAAAAAUAUGGUGGACGAAAACUACCUAUCUUUUCACGUAAAUCGGACGUGAAAAUUCUUCAGAGUGUAGUUGUGAAACUGCGAGGAAAAUAUUUGCACUCUUGCCCCGGACGUUAGUUUUAUCAUUAUUUACCCGUUUUACCCAAUUCGAUUGUGUACACGGAAAAACAGAUUACCUAAAAAAUACGUUAAAAGAACGCAAAAAUAAGUAUACCGCUUGAACUUUUUACCCAGCAGUGGGUUGUUUUAUCGUUCUCCCGCUCGCAUUGUUGUCAAAAACAAAGCGAGAAGCAGCUACCUAGACGAAAAUGUCCGUGCGAGAAGCCAAAUUUGGGUUCUUUGUCGUUUACCUAAAAGUGGGUUUAUUUCAACCCACUAGGGUACUUCGAAAGUCAACGCUAGGUAUAGAAAGAACCUUGCGAUGGGUUGCAAUUUUCUGCCGGCAUCAAACGGAAACUACCCACUCAGAGCUUUAACGCGGUAUAGCCAAAUUUGGGUUCUCGCACGGAAGAGCCGAUAUGAGUGAAAAGAACCUAUAUUUGGGUUGAUUUCUGGUUCCGUGUAAUAUUUGCAUAUGCAAUCUGAAUAGUCUAUUUUACGAAACGACAACAGUGUUGAUAUUGAUAUUAACACUCACGGGCUUGGGCGCAACCUCCUGUCAAAUUUUCAUUCAUGAAAUGAGCGAUCAGCUGAUUCGAAACGUCUCGUAAAAUGGCUCAUAGCCUUUCAAUCGGCGUCAAGAUCGGCGUGCACUUUUGUGUGAGGAAAAAUUUGCGUUAGUGUUCGUGUGUUGAAAUGUCACUUAUCUCUAGAGCUUGCUGACCCGCAUAGUUGUAAACUAUAAGUGUACAAUCUCGCAUAUAAUCGACAACCAUCAGUAACCAUUUUUGAACAAUAUAACAUAUUUUUCGCCACCACCCUAAGUGAUAGUGUCAGUAUUUUGUAGUAUACCACUAGGCAAAUUGUAAUGGCCCAUUUAACAAUAUGACGAAUAGGCUGUUAAGUUAGGUUACAAUAAAAAAUGAGCAUUUUUCUCGAACAAAAUUUUCGCAAUACAAUUAGCCAUGCUGUUCAUUUAUAGUUCAUUUUUUGCAACAGUGGUAGUGUGGACUAUCAAGCCAAGUGGUUGCUAUGUAGUGCAACAAUAAAUUUGAUAGUAAAUUAUGGCAUUAAGUGGAGUUGUUCAUUUAUUGUUAGAUAUGUUAAAAUAAACAAUAUGCCAUAUUGUUUUAUUCCCAUUAUGCAAUAAUAUCAAAGCAAUUUGCUAUUUUCGAGUAACCGCUUUGACAAACAAACAAUUUCUAUAGCAAUUUACAGUAAAGAUGUCUAUAUACAUCAUGCAAAACACUGUUUGUUUGUAAAAAAACAGUUACUCGAAAAUAGCAAAUUGCUCACGAAAUGUUGGAUUAAGUAAGGAAACUAAACAUUUAUUGAAAAAGUAUAGCGCACUAAUUAUAAUAACAAAUAUAACAACAAUCAAGUCUGAUUCAGGCUCAAAUUGAUGAAAUUAUUGAAGAAAAAUACACUUUAUACACUUGUGAUGAACUACAGUGGCUUAGGUAUGAUUAUCCCAACCGUGAAGACAAAAAAGGAACUGCUGGAGCAGGUGCUGGAGCGUACUCUGUUGUGCUAAAAUCCUGGCUUCCCUACGAUCGAUUCUGUCGGAUGCUCUGCUGCAGCGUGAGGAAUUGAAUCACUCAGAACGGCGAGGUGCUUCCGGAGACUAACCGGUUCAAGUAGUUUCCGGAGACUAGCCGUAGCCCAGCAUUUCGAAUCUUGGUUUUACAUACGGCGUGGAAGCCUCUUCCUUCGGCUAAUCUUAACUCCUGAGUAGCUACUUGCACUAAGAAGUGAUAUUUUCUCUAAGAAAAUGUUCUAUGCA